rnacentral:piRNA from 1 species
CAGUCUCAUUGAGAAGGCAUGUG